rnacentral:tRNA from 1 species
UCCGGGUUCGUCCAAUGGCGAGGACACGGGGCUCUGAACCCCGAGAUCGACGUUCGAGUCCUUGGCCCGGAG